rnacentral:lncRNA from 1 species
CCCCGAUUGGCUUUAGUCCAAAUAAAAAUUAUUAAAAAAUAUAUCCUAAAAUCAAUCAUAUGACGAUUGCAUUCCUUCUGUAUAUGAAUUAUUGAUUGAUGAAUAAAAAUUAUUUUGACAUUAUUCAUCACCAAGUUGCAUCUUCCUUAUAGAAUUCUUGUGUUGUGAUGAAGUCCUUAAAACUAUGUUAGUGAUCGAUAAAGAGAAGAUUUAUUGUAUAGUUCUUA